AACGAACGCUGGCGGCAGGCCUAACACAUGCAAGUCGAGCGAACCCUUCGGGGUUAGCGGCGGACGGGUGAGUAACGCGUGGGAAUAUGCCCUUUGCUACGGAAUAGCCCCGGGAAACGUGGGAGUAAUACCGUAUACGCCCGUUUGGGGGAAAGAUUUAUCGGCAAAGGAUUAGCCCGCGUUGGAUUAGGUAGUUGGUGGGGUAAUGGCCUACCAAGCCGACGAUCCAUAGCUGGUUUGAGAGGAUGAUCAGCCACACUGGGACUGAGACACGGCCCAGACUCCUACGGGAGGCAGCAGUAGGGAAUUUUCGGCAAUGGGGGAAACCCUGACCGAGCAAUGCCGCGUGAACGAUGAAGGUCUUCGGAUUGUAAAGUUCUGUGAUUGGGGAAGAAUGGUAUUCUUAGGGAAUGAGGAGUACAUGACGGUACCCGAUUAGAAAGCCCCGGCUAACUAUGUG
rnacentral:rRNA from 1 species